AGCGAACGCUGGCGGCAGGCCUAACACAUGCAAGUCGAACGAACUCUUCGGAGUUAGUGGCGGAUGGGUGCGUAACACGUGGGAACGUGCCUUUUGGUUCGGAAUAACUCAGGGAAACUUGUGCUAAUACCGAAUGUGCCCUUCGGGGGAAAGAUUUAUCGCCAUUAGAGCGGCCCGCGUCUGAUUAGCUAGUUGGUGAGGUAACGGCUCACCAAGGCGACGAUCAGUAGCUGGUCUGAGAGGAUGACCAGCCACACUGGGACUGAGACACGGCCCAGACUCCUACGGGAGGCAGCAGUGGGGAAUCUUGCGCAAUGGGUGAAAGCCUGACGCAGCCAUGCCGCGUGAAUGAUGAAGGUCUUAGGAUUGUAAAAUUCUUUCACCGGGGACGAUAAUGACGGUACCCGGAGAAGAAGCCCCGGCUAACUUCGUG
rnacentral:rRNA from 1 species